rnacentral:snRNA from 1 species
AUUAAAACAUGGUCAAUCGGCUAC